GCGGAGGGCCCAUUAUGGCUCAUUAUGGCCCAAGCCAUACAAAAAAAAAAGUCCGCCGGCCCAACAUCUAAACCCUAAUCACUGCCGCUCCGAGCGACCGCGCCUCCGCCCGCCGUCCGCCGCCCUAACACUGCCGACCUGUCGACUGCCGUCUGCUCAGCCGGCCAGCCACUAUCCGCCGAGCGCCCGACGGCCCGAGCAGGCGAGCAGCUCCGCAUCGCGCGACGUCCCAAGCAGGUGAGCAACCAGGGGCAGUAAAGGCGUUCGCGCGACGUCCAACAGUGCACCUGCGCGCGCGACGUCUCGCUGCUUUCUCCAACUCCUGUUCGGUAUCGCCGUUUCUCGCUUGGAGGUUGUCCUGUAGCGGGGACGACCGCCCAUUCCGGCGCCCGCUCUUCUGCUCCUCCUCGCCUUCCUGUUUCUGCUGCGGGGAGUUCUUCCGCCGCGAGCCGGGACACCGUCGCCGCCGGCCGCCCGCUGUCCGACGCGCAGAGCCUCGUGUCCAAGCGUGGCAAGUUCAAGCUCGGAUUCUUCCGUCCAGGUAACUCUGUCGCCCCUAAUUAACUUCAUUUCGUACGACAGCUGUGUCUGAGAAAUGUGUCGGUAGGUGUGUAGAGCCAUACCUAAAUUUUUUUUCGUCCUCCGCCACUGAUCUCAUUGGACACUACAGCUGCAGUUAGCAACCAAAUUUAGCUAUAAAUUUUGUAAGUAGUUGCUUCCUUAUCCGAAGAAAAAAAAAGAGCAAAACAACAACUUUUUCUUACGUCCUAUCAUGUUCCCAAAUGCUUAUAUUUGACUCAUAACAACUCUUAUACACGUUCACGUACACUUUCUUUGCAUUAAGACAUGUUAACAAACUCAGCACGCGCGCAAAGGCGCGCAAAAUACACUAGUUCAGACUACAAGUAGAAUGUAGAGUCUACUCAGACAGUGGCCAUAAAAAGCUAUUGCAGCGAUGAAGCUGGGAUGUGCAUCAGAGAAUGGAGAGGAUCGGAUCAGAAGAAGUGUUGAGGAACUGAGAAACAGGGAUUGUCCCAAAGUUCUGCACGGCGGAUGUAUUUUUUUAACAGCAUAGGAGGGACGAGCCCUUUCUGGCCUUUAUUAAAAUUGAAAGAGUUCAUGAACUAAUUAAAACACCAUCAAACCAAGAAGUUUAAAAAAUUAGCACGAUUACAGAUAGGUUUGUAACCAUUAUUGACUGGCACAACAGGAAACAGAACCAAAUCCGACAGCGAAAUCAUUUCUGACGGCUAGCCUCGAAGCCAUUGGAAAAAAUUUACAUUCAAUGAUCCGUCGUAGCCAUCGGAUUUUAAUUUACUUCCGACGGCCUGCCAUGUCAGCCAUCCGAAGUAACGUGAUAGCCGUGAGAGAAGGCCGUCCAAUUUAAGCCGUCGGAAAUAAGGCAAAAUAAGAUAUUUCUAAUGGUUAAGGACUUAUUUAUAAUGGCUUUAGCUGCCAGAAAUCUUAGGGUUUACAAUUGUGCACUUAGGGGUAUAUAAGCUUUUUUUGCUUGAAGAAUAACUUGAGUAUUUUUUUAUUUGGUUCGACAUGCUCCGGAGGAGCUGAUGAACCGAACGGGCCCUAAUUAAAGUUUAUAUAAAUUAGAGAAGCAAUCCGGUUAGGAAUCGUUCCGACCCACCAAUCCGGCACAAAUGAACAAGGCCUAAAUGGACUAACACAUUGAUAGAAUAACUUUUACUAAGAAAGGAAGGUGCACCUGAUUCCCGAAGUGAGAUAGGGCAGCAAAAUGAUCAUGCGGUAGAGUGCGAAAAAGACCAAUACUAUCCCAUCAAUAUUUGGCACUAUAGGACAAGUUUAAGUACGUUGCAUUUUGAAGGUUUAGGAACAUAGGUGGCACCAAAAGAUAAGUUUAAGGAUCAAUGAUGUCCACUAUGCCAUCUAUAUUUCUCAUUUUAGUGAGAUUUUUGUUAUUAUAGAAAGCUGCAGAGAGAGGGCUCUUACAAAAUGGAAAUUGUAUCGCGUGUUCUAUUAGAAUGGAAAUGAAACUCUCUCUUCCUUUGCUCGAAUGGCGAUGUGUCCCUCAUUCAAUCUUCACUGACUAAGAUUUUUUUUUGAAACGAGAUUUUACUCUGCUUUUAAGAAAGCAUAUAACAUUGUUCAAACACGGCAACGACUGCUAUGCAAGCAGUCCUUCUGUACAAGCGUGCAAGCAAAUCAUCUGAUCCACUAAAUCGCGAUCCACCCGUAAGUCACAUUUAACACUUAAACCCUUCCACCAUCAGCUCAAUAAUCUUUAUAAAAAAACCCCUAACAAACCAUGAUUGUAUCUGUAGUUGGAACGUAAUCUAAUGAAUUAAAUGGUUUGCUUGCACGCUUGCACAGAAGCACUGCUUGCAUAGCCGUCGUUGCCGUUCAAACACGCACUAGAGAUGCCAGUUUACUGCCAUCAGAAAACCAACCCACCAGACCUCCUAAGAGCAUCUCCAACAACGUGACCUAUAAAAAUGCCCUAUAAUUUGAAAAUAAGUAUAUUUUAUAGAAUUUAGGGCACCAACAAAACAUCUCGCUCCAACAGUAAAGCCCUAAAUCUAGAUUAUAGGGCAGCCCACUACGGUGUAGUAUAUUUGAGUCACUUGAAAGGGUGCCCUAUAGUUUUUUGACAAAAAAUUAUGAAAUACGGCACUGUUGGAGUAGUUUUUCCUGUGUGGAGCCCCAUAUUUCAAUUUAAGGCACUAGUUUAAGGCAUUGUUGGAGAUGCUCUGAAAGAAACAUACAGACUAAGAUUAACCUUCGUCUGAUGCUCUUCACGGAUGUCGCAUCGUCUAUCCAGUUGGCCUCCGUUCCGCGAGCUUGCCCUGUCGACCCCAUCCUUCCUCUCUUCGACCUUGGCCUGGGUUGUCAGUUGUCACCCAUUCACCGUGCUAGACGUCCGCUAGGGCAUGAUGGUGAGAAGCUGCAGAUGCUCAAGCGCGGACAUGGAGCUAGGCAACAUGCGGUGACGGCACGCCAACAACCACCUUCGGGAUAGAUGACAUUUAUUUGUGGUCAUCAUGUGUAUUGGUGUGUUCGCAUCAUGUUCAUUCUCACGAAGGUCCUGUUUGGUGUUAGAGCAUGCUUCUUUUGCUGCGCUGCACAUCAAUGUAGGUCUAACAUUAUCUAACAUAAAUGAUUUAUAAUGUUCUACUCAUAUGCUAUCUUAGUUGAAUGUGAUAAAUAUGCUAGUGUGUAGCGUACACAUUUGCUAAGACAUUGUCAUGGAGCCUAUUGGGUGUUAAAUUUGAAUUAUUUCAAUGCGGGAUGUACUGUUGGCACGAUGAUCACACCCACACCCAUGUGGUUGGAGUGGUUCCAUUCUAGAUUUGGAGAGCGACCUGACUCCAUUCUAGAUCCUGAGAGCGGUGUGAAAUAGUUCUAUUUUUUGUUUGGGCCCACCGCAAAGAGAGCGAGAGAAGUGGUACGGUGGGAUGCCACCGUUUUAUUUGGAACGAGCUCGUCCAAAAUCUGGUGGAAAUAUUCCCGAUAUACAACCGCUCCGCUCUAACUGCUCCAUUCGCUCUCCAAACAAACAUAGAAUGGAGCAGCUCCAUCCCACCUUGCUUCCAAUCAAACGGACCCAGAAGUGUUGAAAACACAUUAAAUGAUUAAUAGAAAGGCCAAAAUGUCCUUUAUCAUCCUCCACCAUUAAUGCAAUUGAAAUAAAUAAUGGACAGAAUAUGGAAUUAAUAUAAUUAAUAUAUUUUUAGUUGUCCGUGGAGAGACUAGGGACUAAAUCAUUUUAGUCCAUGUGUUUGGUCGUGACAAUUUAAGGACUAAAUGAGGCGAAAAUAAAGGAACUAAUCUUUAGUCGACAAGCAUACAGCAGCAUGAACCACAUGUAAUCGUGUUGUACUGCUAGAUAUUAAACAGCCGAGUAAAUAAAAGAGCUCUGUCGUCAUUACUUCUCAUCUCGAGUUCUCUGUCCUGGAGUUUUAACUCGCCUGCGUGGCUCAUGGCUACCAGCAUGGGAACUAGCGAGCUCUCGGGAUGGGUUGGGGAGGACUGGAGAAGGGUAUGGCACUAUGGCUAGGCAUGCCUGUCCCUAUCAGCACAAGUUUGGCGGCACAACUCUCAGUUACCACUUUUACCAGUGUCAAGCUCGGCAAUGCGACAUGGGGACAGAAGCAUACUCCUAUAUAGAGACGCCAGGAUGGCUUACCACGUAUGCUACUGGAUCACGUCUUCUGGGACUCAUGAUGAGUUUAGGGAUCAAAAGUAAGUCCCUUGAAAAUUAGAGAUAGGGGUGAAAAUGGCUUUGCUGUACCCGUCGUCUACCGGAUACGAAUAGUAAAAUUAUCCAUUUUUCAAUAUGAAUUUAGAUACUUUUAUACUCAAAAUAGAUACGAGUUACUGGCUGAAUAAUGCAUCUUCGGAUUUCAGUUGAAUACGAAGCGAGUACUAUCUAGUAAAUGCUUGGAUAUUCAGGUCGAAUACGGUACCUGAGUUUCGGGUACCCAUUUUUCUUUUUCUGCAUAAUAUUGUUAUAAAUUCAUAACUUUCACAGAUAAACUCGGAUGAAGAUAAAGUUUAUAUAAAAAUCGUAGAGCUCAAAGAGAUCUACAACUUUGUAGUACAUCACAUUUUUUUUGAACACAUCUUCACAUCGAAAUCAUUGAAAUAGUGUCUAAAUUUAUAUCGAAGUAACGAACUAUACAUCACAUGAACUACAAGGUAUUGGCGCCUCAAAUAAAAUUUUCUCUCUCCUUCCUUCUACGAUUUUCAUAUAAACUUUAUCUUCGUCCGAGUUCACGUGUAAAAGAUAAGAAUUUAUAAUAAUAUUACGCAGAAAAAAUAAAAACGGGUACCCAAAACCUGACUACUCCUAUCUAAUUAACUCGAAUAUCCGAGUAUUUAUGGGAUAGUACUUGCUUUGUAUUCGACCCGAAUCUAAAGAUACAAUAUUUGAGUAGUAGUCGUAUCCAUCCCGAGUAUAUAUAGAAAUAUACGAACCUGUACCCGAAAAAUUAGUAUUUGUACUAUCCAUACAUGAUGGUACCCGACCGAUACAUCGGAGCUGUUUUCACGUCUAUCUUGAACUUCCAAAGUACUUAAUUUUGGUGCCUAAACUGAUCAUGAGUCCCAAAAGACGUGAUCUAGUAGCAUACGUGGUAAGCCAUCCUGGCAUCUAUUUAUGCUUCGUUCCCCAUGUUGUUAUAUAUAAGUGUGUUUGUGCACGCACGUGCACAUGCUAAAUAAUGGUAACACAUAUAAACUAUCUUGUAUUGUAUUAGACUAUUGCGUGAUUCAAACAUUGUUAUUAUAUUCAAACUAUUGUAUUGAACUACUUAUGUUGUAUUAGACUAUCUUAUGUCAUUUGAAAACGAUCUUUUGUUUUAUUAGACUAUUAUGUGAUUCGAAUCUUGUCAUUAUAUUUUAAAAAUUGUGUUAGACUAUUGUACGGUCUAAAUUUAUUGCUAUAUUGUUACGUUGAUCUAUAUGUUCUAUACAAUCCUCAUGUGUAAUUGUUUUAUUCAUGAACUAAAUUGGAGUAAAUGAUAAGUAAUUUAUGUAUCCAACAAAUAUACGGUAUCCGAUCAAAUAAUAUCCUUAUCUGUCACCUAUCUGCUCGAGUAAAUAUUCAGUCCUAAUAUUCGGAUCCGAUGCUGAAUCCGAUUGAAAUACAAUAGGGGUAUGAUACAGAUGACCUACUAUAUGUCUGUAUCUGCCCAUUUUCAUCCUUAGUUGGAAAAUACAAGAUGACCUACUAUCUGUCCAUAUCUACCUAUUUUCAUUCCUAGUUGGAGAAUCAGGACGAUAUAAUACAACAGGCUAAGUUCGUGGACUAGGUGUGAAUUUUACUCAUAAAAGCGUAGUUAUAUCUGGUGAUGCUCAUGACACAAUAUGUUUGUUAUAUGAACAAAUCAAUUCUAGAUGAGAUGGUCUAUCGUGAAUUUAUCCGUGUAAAAAUGGUGUAUUAAGGCUCUGUUUAAGUGCACUAGAGCUAAUACUUAGGUGCUAAAAUUAGUUAGAGACAUCCAAACAAUCCAACUAAUAGUUUAGCUAUUAGCUACUUUUAGUUGGAAACAUCCAAACAUUUCUAGCUAAUAAUCCAGCUAACUAUUAGCUACACCCUCAACUACCAAUUAGUUAUUAGCUGGUUCAACCAGCUAGAAGUAGCUAAUUAAUACUACAUCCGUUCAUAAAUAUAUGACACCGUUGACUUUUUCGAAAAUUUUGACCACUUAUCUUAUUCAAAAAUGUAAAAUUUUAAGCCAAGAAUAAACUACCUUAAGUGAUAAAACAAAUCAAAAAAUGAUAACUCAUUGUUUUCUUGAAUAAGACGAGUGAUCAAAGUUUUUUUAAAAUGUCAACGGUGUCAUAUAUUUAUGAAUGGAUGGAGUAGUUAGUCAACUAUUUGUUAGUCAGUUAAUUCCACUAGCAACUUUUAGCCAGCUAACUAUUAGCUCUAGUGCAUUCAAACAAUGCCUAAAUCAAUCCUUUAUGCUUAUAAUGAUCAUUAGAUUUUGAAGGAUGAGAAAGUAGUAGAUAAAUGAAUUCUAUCUGUUUCGGUUACCAGUGGCGCAACUAAAGCAGAAGAUUUGGUGUGCUUUCUGUGGAAUUACAACGUCUGUACAGUUCAAUUAUCAAGUGGUGGCGGUGGUAUAGAUCUGUGGUGAUGCUGUGUUGUUCAACGUGAGUUGACGUUUCAAUCCAACAAACCAUUGUGCUAGUGUUUAGGGGGCGUAUUGACCCUUUUCAUGGUCCAUGUUGUUGCUUCGUUUUAUGCUUCAGUCUAAGUUUCUGUUUUUUUUUUCAUGUAAUCUAAAGCCAAUUCAAUGCUUACAACUAACUAGUUCUUUCGGGAUAUUAAUUUGCGCCUGGCCAAGCUCUUUAUGACAUGAUGGAUCUGUCCUCUACUCCUCUGCUAUAAAAGCAACGCUUGGCUAGCACUGCCCUAACGUCCAUUCUUGCUUCCUUCCCUUGCAUUGUUUGGGUAAUCUCUAACCCAAAAUAUUGCAUCAGAUAUUAUUGAAAUGGGAUGCAUGGGGAAAGAAAAUAGCACGUACCAAAUCCUUUCUUGAACCUUCAACAACAAAUCCACUCCUCUGCAUUCAAUCUAUUGCUAAUCUUUUAGUCAUCACACUGGUUGGACAGUGUGUUGGUGUGUGUGCAUCAUGUUCCUUCUCACGAAGGUCCUGUUUAGUGGUAGUGCCUGCAUGUUCCACUGGAUGAUUUUCUUGUUUUAUCGAGCAGGAGGCACUUGAUCUUUGCUUGCAUUUCUCAUCAGGUGCUGGGUGAAUAGAUCCCUGUCGUUCUCUAUGCACUAGUACAAAUAAGCUCAAAGCCUGCGGCACGUUCAACUUUUCACUGGCGGUUUCCGUUAUCAAACGUCAGUGAAAGAAACAGGUGGG
rnacentral:lncRNA from 1 species